CAGAGCUCCCUGCAGGGCUGUGCCGUGGGUGUUGCCGGCAGUGCGGUGAGAGCCGCAGGCUUCUAGAAGUUGCUGAGGCAGGUACGGUUUGCGGCGGCACUGCCGGCUGAGGGGCCGUCGGAAGGCAUCCUGCACCAGGGCUGAUCCUGAGGGCCGGCUGUGCUAGGACCUGAGGUAGCGGUCUCGCCUGUCGGGGCGCCUUACUGCUGGCGUUUGCUUCUGGCAGCCACCAGGGGGUGCUUGCAGGAAUCUUCGCCUUAUAGCAGCAGGGCCAAGGGAUUCAGCCUCUUCAUUUUGUCUAAAGAAGUUGGUGACUUCAUUGACUUUACUGCACGAAAUCUUCAAGCAAAACCUGUCUUCUCUAAGGAGAGUGAGGAAAGUUUCUUCAGGACUUGCAUAAGUCAAGAUGAGUAGAGUCUCACUUUCCUACACUGAGAAAUGUAUGAAGAGCAAAAAGACGAGGAGAACUGACUCAUUUUGACAGUACACCUGCACCACAGACAACUAUGGCUGAGGAACAAAAUUCUGCUUGUGCAUAGGGCUACCUAACUUCACAGUAGUGUACACACUUACAGUACAGCUUUUCACUGAGGAGAUGGAUGGCACUGAAUUUGUGAGAGAGAAGGGCUUCGAGAUGUGUUCUGGUCAAAUAAUUUGAGAGCAG
rnacentral:lncRNA from 1 species